UUUCCGUAGGUGUACCUGCGGAAGGAUCAUUAUUGUAUAACCGAGGUGCGAGGGCUGUCGCUGACCCGAAAGGUCGUGCACGCCUGAGUGCCCUCACACACAUCCAUCUCACCCCUAUGUGCACCACCGCGUGGGUCCCCCUUUGGCUUGUUCGGAGGGGGGCUUACGUUUUCACACAAACUUUGUAUGCAGUGUAGAAUGUAUUUUUUGUUUUUGCGAUCACGCAAUCAAUACAACUUUCAACAACGGAUCUCUUGGCUCUC
rnacentral:misc_RNA from 1 species